CUAUUUCUCGGUCAUUUGUGAUUUACUACCCCGUAGGUAACGUAUACCGACAAUGUAAGGAUUUCCUGAGCGCGUGUAGGUAUGUGAAAACGAGUUCGCACGUAAUUCGGCUUUUAAUUGGUUUUUCACGCAAAUAAAUAUCUCGAGGAUUUUCGACUUGUUUCGAACGCACAACAUUCGUCGGUCCGCCGUCUGUUCGGUAUAGAUAUACGGUCGUUAAAGAAAUCCCGCGCAGCCCAUUGGUUCUUUUUCAAAUUUAUUAUCGCGUAUAUGUGGCCUUACAUACAAAAACGUACUGUUUCUGACCUUAAAAUGAGGCCGUUUCGGCAAUAAAUUGUACUCCGUGCCCGAAUCACCCCACCGUUUCAAAUUGAACGCCAGAAACGUAUUAAAAGUGUA